rnacentral:rRNA from 1 species
UACGAAGGGGCUAGCGUUGCUCGGAAUCACUGGGCGUAAAGGGUGCGUAGGCGGGUCUUUAAGUCAGGGGUGAAAUCCUGGAGCUCAACUCCAGAACUGCCUUUGAUACUGAAGAUCUUGAGUUCGGGAGAGGUGAGUGGAACUGCGAGUGUAGAGGUGAAAUUCGUAGAUAUUAGGAAGAACACCAGUGGCGAAGGCGGCUCACUGGUCCGGUACUGACGCUGAGGUGCGAAAGCGUGGGGAGCAAACAGG